rnacentral:rRNA from 1 species
GACGAACGCUGGCGGCGUGCUUAACACAUGCAAGUCGAACGGAAAGGCCCUGCUUUUGUGGGGUGCUCGAGUGGCGAACGGGUGAGUAACACGUGAGUAACCUGCCCUUGACUUUGGGAUAACUUCAGGAAACUGGGGCUAAUACCGGAUAGGAGCUCCUGCUGCAUGGUGGGGGUUGGAAAGUUUCGGCGGUUGGGGAUGGACUCGCGGCUUAUCAGCUUGUUGGUGGGGUAGUGGCUUACCAAGGCUUUGACGGGUAGCCGGCCUGAGAGGGUGACCGGCCAAAUGGGGAAUGAGAUACGGCCCAAGCUCCUACGGGGGGGAGGAGGGGGGAAUAUUGCAAAAGGGGCGGGAGCCUGAAGCAGCAACGCCGGGGGGGGGAUGAGGGCCUUCGGGUUGUAAACCGGUUUCCCCGGUGAAGAAGCGGGGGGGACGGUAAUGGGGAAAGGAGCACCGGCUAAAUAAGU